CCUACGGGGUGCAGCAGUGAGGAAUAUUUGUCAAUGGACGAGAGUCUGAACCAGCCAAGUAGCGUGAAGGAUGACUGCCCUAUGGGUUGUAAACUUCUUUUAUAUGGGAGUAAAAUGUUCCACGUGUGGGAUUUCGUAUGUACCAUAUGAAUAAGGAUCGGCUAACUCCGUGCCAGCAGCGGCGGUAAUACGGAGGAUCCGAGCGUUAUCCGGAUUUAUUGGGUUUAAAGGGAGCGUAGGUGGAUUGUUAAGUCAGUUGUGAAAGUUUGCGGCUCAACCGUAAAAUUGCAGUUGAAACUGGCAGGCUUGAGUACAGUAGAGGUGGGCGGAAUUCGUGGUGUAGCGGUGAAAUGCUUAGAUAUCACGAAGAACUCCGAUUGCGAAGGCAGCUCACUGGACUGCAACUGACACUGAGGCUCGAAAGUGUGGGUAUCAAACAGGAUUAGAUACCCCUGUAGUC
rnacentral:rRNA from 1 species